rnacentral:lncRNA from 1 species
GCCGCCGCAUUCUGCCAAACAACAUGGCAGCGCGCAGAGCAGCGGCGUGUUCGUGUGGUGGACGUUUUUUUUUUCUGUUACACCGCAGCCGUCGCCGCUGCAUAGCGUAAUGGACGGUGCAGCAAAGUCCGGAGGUUACAGAAUUCAUUUGAAGAGCACACGAUGCUUACAUUUUGGCAGAAUAGCGAGCGGUAAGGCGGAUGCAACCGGGAUGCAGCGUUGAUCCAGGGGAAUCGAAAUUGUUUCGGCGUCGGCAUGUUUUCUUAAAGCAUUGCAGAGAUGAUCUGAAGUGUUUUAGCACGAAUGCUCAGCUUCAACAGCAGCAUCUUUCAACUGAGUGCUGGCAUUGAGUGCUUCACUUCAGAUGAAAAACUAAAGCCACAUCCCAGGGUCAGUGGCUUUCCCAGGAACGCCUAGGACGUAGGAAUGCAUACUUAUCAUCCUUCACGCUCACACAGCAUGGCUCCCAGAAAUGGAAAGCGAGAACAUCACCAUCACCGACGUGCAAGCUGAGCUUUUGGAUGGAAGCGUAGAGCACCCGAGAACCUGAUUGGCCAGCUUUUCAAGCCGCUUGGGUAACCAAGAAGGCAUCAAUGAUCUGUGAAUGAGGAAUGAAUAGUGCAAUACUGCCUGGUUAUAAUAUAGCAAUAUGUUGGCAGUGUUGCUGAAGUGAAUCUCAUAAUCCGGUAUUUAUUGCAAAGGCCACUCUUUCUACAGGUCCUGGGAGCCCCUGGUUCCUGUAAAAUUCCAAGCCUAUGGCUGUUCCACGGCUGAAAAGCUGAAAAUAAGGGUACAACGCAAGGCGUACAUUCAUCUUGCGCAAGCAGUCUGGUUCAAUGUGUGCUUGCGUCAGCUUUGGCACAAUACGAAGCUGCUGGUUCUCCUCGGCUUUGUACAGCAACCGGUAGUGAUCGUAGGCAACUUCACAGUUUCCAGCCUAGAAAAACACAUGCAAAUGAAUUGCACGAUAUCCUGAAUUGCGCCCACAUGGCCUUGUUGCUCCCGGCACCAUCACUGACGACUGCUAUCACUACUGCAUUUUGCUUGAAAAGUUCGAGAACAGCCUCAAGCACAAGCCUGGCAAGGACAUCACCUGGUGCAGCUCCCUUGCUGGCGAAGCUGGCGAUUGGCUGUACCCAGUUACUGAAUAAAGACACAUACAUGAACACAA